UAAAAAGUAGUUAUUAGAAAGGUGCAAUCUGGGAAAUGCUAACUUUAGCCUGCUAGCACUGAAAGCAUACGAUACCACCUUCCCUGCAAAUCGCCGUCCAAAGCCACGCCUCUUCCAAAACACAAGACCAGAAGCGAGAAAAACCGGAGACAACGUUAUUGGAUUACAUCAUGUGUCAUUCACCGAAGCUAUCAAAGGGAAAUCCACAACAAACUGCCUAUCAGGCAAAAGCUGCUUAUGGAGAAUGUGAGGAAAAGCGGCUGGUGACAGGCUUGAGCGAACAAAAAGCUCUCCAGAUAUUAUGGGAUGGCAGCCAGGCGUUCACAGCUAACAAUAGAUGCCCACAGAUUCAAACCUCCGAGGCCUGUGUUUUGUUGAGUCCAUCUCUCUAUUAAUGCUACAGAGAGUUCCACUGCAGCAUACAGAGUCAUCCAAAAAAGCUACUAUUUACAUGAUACAGAGCUAUGUGGGUUGGUAAGUAAGGGAAAAAAUAUCAAAAUGAAUGACUUCACUUGUAUAUUUUCCAGCGAUUCUCCAGUGAGAUCAAGAAACAAGAAGUGGAAAUAAACAAAUUGAUAAAAGGAGCCACUCUGAAUCAUGGCUGACAUCUCAUCUCCCUCAGGCUUAAAGGAAUCAUUCACCCAAAAUGAAAACUCUUUCAUCAAUUACUCACUUUCUUUCUGAGUUUCUUUCUUCUGUGGAACACAAAAGGAGAAGUUUUGAUGAACAUCUUGAGCAGUCUUUUCCAUGCAAUGACAAUAAAUGGAAACUGAAGCUUGAAAGGGGAUGCAAAAGCACCGUAAAAGAAUUAUAUGUAUCAUAAAAGCAGACUUGAAUUCAAGUCGUUAUUCACCGAUAAUCCAUCUCCAGAGUCAGUGGGGUGAACACAAGAACUGUGAAUGAAUCACAGACAGAAUUGUGAACUGAAUCAAUUGAUUCACUGAAAAUGACUUGAACACUCUAUUUUCCUCCCAUUUAUGACUUUUCAGGGUCAUUCAGAGAGUCAGACACUAACUUGGAAACCAAAGAAUACCAAAGAUAAUUGCUGUUAGAAACUUCUAAAAAAAAAAAAAAAAAAUCAUUAAUUAUUGGCAUCAAAUAAUGUAAGCUCUCAAAUGAUUCAUUGAAAAUAACUGACUAAGAAUAAUUUGAAUAAUCACUAGUCUUACACAAAGCUAUCUUAAGUCUUGAAAUACAUUUUGCAAGUCAUAUAGACUACUUUUAUGGUCCUUUUUGAAGCUUGAAAGCUUUGAACAUCUCCCCAUUUAUUGUAACUGCGUGGAAAAAAAGCAUGAAAAGAAGAAAGAAAAUGCAUGUUUGGAACAACAUGAGGGUGAGUAAAUGUCCUUUUUUUGAGUAAACUAUAAGACUCAGAACACUGUGUUCCACAACAACUGACCCUAACGCUCAAAAAUUAUUAAUUAGUUUGAGUAGGGCAAACACAAAUUAAACAAAUUAGUUCAAUCAAAUGAACUUUUAUGAAUAUUUAGAACUUUCUUUUUCUUGAGUUCAUGAAACUGACACAUUUUAAGUAAACUGAAUUGUUUCAUUGUAUUGAGUUUUACAAACUUGUUUCUUUUAAUUUAGACAAACUUAAAUUUACCUGAUGGGCAGGUAUUUCUAUUUACCCUAACACUCGAAAGUGAGAAUAAAUGCUAAAAUUAAGUGUUAUAUAAUGUUUUUUUUUUUUUUUUUUUGUGCAAGAUUAAUGUUAAGUGGGGGGUUUAGUAGAGUUUAAUGCUUUGCUAUCCUAAUAUCCUAAUUUAGGGAGGGGGGGUUACCAUCAUGGUGACAAGUGGAGCAUGAGAUUAGUUUGAGAACAGGUAUAUCAUAUAUGUUCUAUAUUGCCGUACUCUUUCAGCAAUUACUAUGCUAUGCUAAUGUUAUCAAAGCACUGUGUUACCAAUUAGCAUUUUCUGAAUUAGCUAGUUAUAGCUAGCUAAAUUUCCACUACUAAAAAUAUAAUUUAAGAUGUCUUUGGGCGACCCAAGUUUGAGUCCUGGCUCGCAGAACUUUUUCCUGAUCCCGUCCACCUUUCUCCCUCCCACUUUGCUUCCUGUCUGCUUUUAUAUACGCUGCCCUCCAAAAGUUUGGAAACACCCUAGAAA